rnacentral:tRNA from 1 species
GUUAAAAUAAUUUAUUAAAAUAUUGGUUUUGUAAACCAAAUUUGGAGCAUCCUUUUAACA